CAGUAGCCGCGGUAAUACGAAGGGGGCUAGCGUUGCUCGGAAUGACUGGGCGUAAAGGGCGCGUAGGCGGUUUUGACAGUCAGAUGUGGAAUUCCUGGGCUUAACCUGGGGGCUGCAUUUGAGACGUCAAGACUAGAGUGUGAGAGAGGGUUGUGGAAUUCCCAGUGUAGAGGUGAAAUUCGUAGAUAUUGGGAAGAACACCGGUGGCGAAGGCGGCCAUCUGGGACAACACUGACGCUGAGGCACGAAAGCGUGGGGAGCAAACAGGAUUAGAUACCCCCGUAGUCCCUGUCUCUUAUAC
rnacentral:rRNA from 1 species